GACGAACGCUGGCGGCGUGCCUAAUACAUGCAAGUCGAACGAGAGCGCCCGGUGCUUGCCCUGGUCAAUCUAGUGGCGAACGGGUGAGUAACACGUUGGUAACCUGCCCAUCAGAGGGGGAUAACAUCCGGAAACGGAUGCUAAAACCGCAUAGGUCUUCGAACCGCAUGGUUUGAAGAGGAAAAGAGGCGCAAGCUUCUGCUGAUGGAUGGACCCGCGGUGCAUUAGCUAGUUGGUGAGGUAACGGCUCACCAAGGCCGUGAUGCAUAGCCGACCUGAGAGGGUGAUCGGCCACAUUGGGACUGAGACACGGCCCAAACUCCUACGGGAGGCAGCAGUAGGGAAUCUUCCGCAAUGGACGCAAGUCUGACGGAGCAACGCCGCGUGAGUGAAGAAGGUUUUCGGAUCGUAAAACUCUGUUGUUAGAGAAGAACAAGUGCUAGAGUAACUGUUAGCGCCUUGACGGUAGCUAACCAGAAAGCCACGGCUAACUACGUG
rnacentral:rRNA from 1 species